ACUGAGCUCGGGUGCUGAGAACAUCAUACACGUCCCCGCUUUGCAGAUGAGGACGUUGGAAAUCAGAUACAAGUUAAGCGGCUGGUACAGUCACACAAAUUCCAAGAUGUGAGACUUCAGGAGGAUUCCUUGUCCUGGGGAGCCUGCCGUAUACUAAGUUUUUCCAGGGUACAGAAAGGGACAACAAAAAAAGAAAAGGAGGGAACUCACUUGGAGGAAAACCACUUCAGGAGAAAAGUGCAUGUAUUUCUGCAAAAAAAAAAGUUUGUUUAUUAAAAGAACCACCAUUGCUCUUGUGACCUUUUCCUGAGCCUGUGUUUGCAUUGGUUAACCUUGCUGUGCUCUGUUUCAUCUUUAGCCCAUCUUCUGGGAAUUCUGUUGGGUCAUCACAUACCAUAGCCCUGAAAACUCCCACUACAGCUGUGACCGCACAACAUUGUAAAGGCUGUCCUGCUGCCGUAUUAGUCAAGGCAAGCUGACCUCCACAGCUAACAAUGCCAGACUUGCAGGGGCAACACAGUAGAAAUGUGUUACUUGAUCACAUCCUGGGCCAAUGCAGGCAGGUAUUCCUCCUCCAGGUGGUGAUUCAGGGACCCAGCCUCCUACCUUUUCGGCAUCUG